GACGAACGCUGGCGGCGUGCUUAACACAUGCAAGUCGAACGGAAAGGCCCUGCUUUUGUGGGGUGCUCGAGUGGCGAACGGGUGAGUAACACGUGAGUAACCUGCCCUUGACUUUGGGAUAACUUCAGGAAACUGGGGCUAAUACCGGAUAGGAGCUCCUGCUGCAUGGUGGGGGUUGGAAAGUUUCGGCGGUUGGGGAUGGACUCGCGGCUUAUCAGCUUGUUGGUGGGGUAGUGGCUUACCAAGGCUUUGACGGGUAGCCGGCCUGAGAGGGUGACCGGCCACAUUGGUACUGAGAGACGGCCCAGACGCCUACGGGAGGCAGCAGUGGGGAAUAUUGCACAAUGGGCGGGAGCCUGAUGCAGCAACGCCGCGUGCGGGAUGACGGCCUUCGGGUUGUAAACCGCUUUCGCCUGUGACGAAGCGUGAGUGACGGUAAUGGGUAAAGAAGCACCGGCUAACUACGUG
rnacentral:rRNA from 1 species